UCCGAGAUGGUGUAGUGGAAAGCAUUGCAGCUUGUCUCGCUGCAGACCUGGGUUCAAUUCCCAGUCUUGGAG
rnacentral:tRNA from 2 species